rnacentral:rRNA from 1 species
GUACACUCCUGCGGGAGGCAGCAGUGGGGAAUAUUGGACAAUGGGCGCAAGCCUGAUCCAGCCAUGCCGCGUGAGUGAUGAAGGCCCUAGGGUUGUAAAGCUCUUUCACCGGUGAAGAUAAUGACGGUAACCGGAGAAGAAGCCCCGGCUAACUUCGUGCCAGCAGCCGCGGUAAUACGAAGGGGGCUAGCGUUGUUCGGAUUUACUGGGCGUAAAGCGCACGUAGGCGGACUAUUAAGUCAGGGGUGAAAUCCCGGGGCUCAACCCCGGAACUGCCUUUGAUACUGGUAGUCUUGAGUUCGAGAGAGGUGAGUGGAAUUCCGAGUGUAGAGGUGAAAUUCGUAGAUAUUCGGAGGAACACCAGUGGCGAAGGCGGCUCACUGGCUCGAUACUGACGCUGAGGUGCGAAAGCGUGGGGAGCAAACAGGAUUAGAAACCCUUGUAGUCCCAU